rnacentral:rRNA from 1 species
GAUGAACGCUAGCGGCAGGCUUAACACAUGCAAGUCGAGGGGUAGAGUUCUUCGGAACUUGAGACCGGCGCACGGGUGCGUAACGCGUAUGCAAUCUACCUUUUACAGAGGGAUAGCCCAGAGAAAUUUGGAUUAAUACCUCAUAGUAUUAUGACUCGGCAUCGAGAUAUAAUUAAAGUCACAACGGUAAAGAUGAGCAUGCGUCCCAUUAGCUAGUUGGUAAGUAACGGCUUACCAAGGCUACGAUGGGUAGGGGUCCUGAGAGGGAGAUCCCCCANACUGGUACUGAGACACGGACCAGACUCCUACGGGAGCAGCAGUGAGGAAUAUUGGACAAUGGGCNCAAGCCUGAUCCAGCCAUGCCGNGUGCAGGAUGACGGUCCUA